UCGCGGCAUCACUGUACAUGCGAGUUACUGACGGCCCGAGGAGGGCAGAGGCGGCUGGCUUGUAAGUUACAACUGGAAGGUGUUUCCCAAGCAGAACUGACCAGGUAUGGCGGUAUUUAUGUAGCUACAAGUCCUGCGACUAAAACAUUUUGCUGAAUAGGAGACAGUAUAGGACACAGGGUGAGUUAGGGAGUUUUUUGUUUCAGUUUGGAAAGUACUUAUUUCUGGACAGAAAUACAUGUCUAGUUAGCAGUUUACGUAGGUCUGAUGCUCGGAAAAUCUCAGCUGGAGAUACAGAUUCCAGAGUCUGUAAAUAAACUGGACUAAUCAGCUUAUCACUAGUAACUGUUGAAGGUGAUCUAAAGAACAUACAUAGAACAAGAGGAUUUUGAAAAGGACACGAAGACAAAAUACAGCUUGCCAAAGACCACUCAUGUGUCAGAGGGCAGCGUUAAGAUCUGAGCUCAGCUGUCUAAUCCACAGCCUCGGUAAUCUCACUGUGCUGUGCUGUUUCUGAAAUGGGAACUAUGUGAAAACUCACUACAAACUGUGAAGUGUUAUAAGCAUAUAAACUUCUCCACUAAAAUAAACUAGCUUACAAAUGUCCUUUGAAAUACACAUUAAUGUGGACAGAGUUGUCAGAUACCUGAACUUUACGCAUCGGUGCAGCUCCACUUACUUUAGUUCUUUGGCUAAAUAUAAUCAAUCUUCAUUCAAGAGUUAUGUGGAUUAAUUCUUAAUUCUAAUUAAACUUUUAUAUUAACUUUAAAUUAAUUUUUAUACAAUUCUUAAUUCUAAAAUUUUUUAUUAAUUUUUAUAAAAUUUUAUAUUAAUUUUAAUUUUUAAACUAACUAGAAAAGAGAAUGCUGAUCUUGGUCUCAGAUUUUUCAAAGACAACGCUUGGGAAAAAGUAAGUAUGUCCAGCCCUCGGUCAGAAGUUUUAUUCAUGUACAGAGGUCCACGCUGUUUACUCUAACCACACGCAACAUCAUUUGGUGUAUCUGUGAAACUACAGUACAGUGUUUCCUCUGAUGUUUAAACAGAUGUAACUGAGGUUGUAAAAUUAUUCUAAUGUGCAUGAUCAACAAUUAACUUCGUAGCCGGUAUUCAAUGUAAUACUUUAUUUUCUAUUGUAUUUAAACUAAAGCCAAGAAAAUAUCAAGUUAAUUUUAAGGGCAAAUCUUUACUCCUUAAAGAAAAAAUACAAACUGUGGUAUUUUUAUAAUAGAUCAUUCUAUUUUACAUAAUAUAAACAAAACCACCAAUACAUCUAUGUGCUUCGUUUCCUUAAACUACAAUGAACCACAGAAUGGGUGGGAAAUGGGUUUAUUUGUCGGCAGCAAGUAAACCUGG